UGGGUGGAUUAGUGGCGAACGGGUGAGUAACACGUGAGUAACCUGCCCUUAACUCUGGGAUAAGCCUGGGAAACUGGGUCUAAUACCGGAUAGGAGCGUCCACCGCAUGGUGGGUGUUGGAAAGAUUUAUCGGUUUUGGAUGGACUCGCGGCCUAUCAGCUUGUUGGUGAGGUAAUGGCUCACCAAGGCGACGACGGGUAGCCGGCCUGAGAGGGUGACCGGCCACACUGGGACUGAGACACGGCCCAGACUCCUACGGGAGGCAGCAGUGGGGAAUAUUGCACAAUGGGCGCAAGCCUGAUGCAGCGACGCCGCGUGAGGGAUGACGGCCUUCGGGUUGUAAACCUCUUUCAGUAGGGAAGAAGCGAAAGUGACGGUACCUGCAGAAGAAGCACCGGCUAACUACGUGCCAGCAGCCGCGGUAAUACGUAGGGUGCGAGCGUUAUCCGGAACUAUUGGGCGUAAAGAGCUCGUAGGCGGUUUGUCGCGUCUGUCGUGAAAGUCCGGGGCUUAACCCCGGAUCUGCGGUGGGUACGGGCAGACUAGAGUGCAGUAGGGGAGACUGGAAUUCCUGGUGUAGCGGUGGAAUGCGCAGAUAUCAGGAGGAACAC
rnacentral:rRNA from 1 species